UUUUAAUUUAUCAUUUUUACUUUUGAUUGUUAGUUAUAAUUUUCCUUCCUUUUGGAAUGGAGAUCCCGUUAGCAACAAGCAUAAUAGUUAUAUUUUAAGUCGAAGUUUUGUUAUAUUCAACAACAAACAUGAAGAUUAUUAAUUUCCUUUGUCAUACUUCAGGUUAGAUUUAUUGACGAUUUUUUUCUUUAAUUUCAAUAUAUAUCUAUAUAUGAUGUUAUCUUUUGUGUUUAGAUGGUCAAGAAUUGCCCGAAA
rnacentral:misc_RNA from 1 species